AUGCCGUCGAUUGACAAGGUCACCGACAACGGAGAGAUGAAGCAGCGGCAGCCAGAGCAGCAGCAGCCGUCCAUGACCAUGGGCCCCAUGCUGCAGCAGCCGCUCAACUUCAGCAGCAGCCACGUCGCGCGCUACCUCACCGGCGCCAAGCCCACCUACCCCACCGCAGUCGCCGCGUACACCGACGUUCGUGACGUCGCCCGCGCCCACGUCCUUGUCUAUGAGCACCCCGACGCACACGGCCGCUACCUUUGCAUCGGCGCCGUGCUGCACCGCGCCCACUUCCUCCAGCUCGUCGGCGACCUCUUCCCUCACUACAACAUAACCGCCAAGUGCGAAGAGGACGGCAAACCCAUGGCGAAGCCGUACAAGUUCUCGAACCGGAGGCUGAGGGACCUAGGAUUGGAGUUCACUCCACUAUGGGGAAGUUUGUACGAGACGGUGACUUGCUUGCAGAAGAAGGGCCACCUGCCUCUGCCCAUUGUUCCCAUGGCAACAAAGCGUGCCUACUUGUAA
rnacentral:rRNA from 1 species